AAGUGGCAUUGAUUACACUCACAUUGCUGAGAACCGUCACCACUGUCCCUCUCCUGAGCUUUCUCACUGCCCAAACAGAAACUCUGUUUAUGCAUCAGUGACUUCCCACUGCUCUCAAUUCUCUUUGUCAGCCUCUGAGCAGGUAAGGGGGCUUCCAGUUUGUUCCUCGAUCCUGCCUUCUCCUGCCCCAUCCCUAACCUCUCCCCCUCUUCUCCUUUCCUCCACCAUAGGGGGCUGUGGUGUUGGGGGUGAGGAGAAGGCUUAUCAUAUUCAGAGCUGAGGAAUGGGCUGCAUUUCAAUCCCCCCUUCACAUUCCAUGUUCUUCAUUUAUGAAAAUAAUCAUGCUUCUUGCACCCAGAGAUCUGUGCCUUCUUCCACCCUCAACUUGUUCUCUUGGCAUGGGGGCCACAGGCCAGAUCACUGAUGGGCUGGCCGGAUAUGUCCGUGCAGUCUUGUACUUGGGACUUUGUCUCUGCUAAGCCUUUUUUUUUAAUGGGAGACUUGUUUCUAUGCAGCUGAGAUAGGAAACAAACAUACUCUAUAGUUGAGUGGUUAUCGCCUAUAUUCAUUAUUAUCUUUGUCAUUAUACGUGGUGAAUGAUGAUGAGCUAUGCAUUGUGGUGUGGGCACUUUUAUGUGUUUACAAAUAAUAUAUAUCAUCCUGCAGUAGUUCAGAACAUAUUGUGAGCAACUUCCAAACUGUGCUUCAGUGCUGUGGCAUAUGCUGAGUAAAGAGCAAUUCAGAUUUGAUCUGGUCUUUUGGGAACUUGAAAUCUAAGAUAAGUACGUGUAAAUAGAGAGAGAUGGAAAUGUUAAACCAACAUUGGCACCCAAAAUGAAGCCUUUGGGGGAGGCGAUCUAAUUCACCGAGGGUCUACUGUAUGUCAGGAGGGGGUGUUGGGAGUGUUGUACCUGCCGUCUCAUUUCCCUCUGCCAAUAAGCUACAAGUUGGGGCUUACAGGUGAGGAAACCGUGAUGAAGAGAGGUUGCAUAGAUUGCCAGGGUCACGUGGCUAAUAAGCUACAGAGUAGGUAAUGAACUAGAACAACAUGCCCUUUGGAAAUGUCAGGUCGCUGAGUCUGCUAUAUUCAGGACCUAGAAAAUCAUGGGGUUGUAGAGUUUGGGUGUGGGGAUGGGCUGAGAGAACCAGAGCGAAUGGCUGGGUAGAGGUGAGGAGAUAGGCUUUUCUUUCAUUCUAGAAUGAUGCAAUUUUGUAAAAACCAUGGACAACAUUUAGUGUAUUCUCCCUGUGUGCCAGGGGCUGACCUGUUCCCUCUGCAUCCAGCAUCUCAUUUAAUCCUAACCUUUCUGAAGCAUCUGCUAUUAAGAGCCUCAUUGUAAGGAUGAGGAAACAAAGGCACUGAGGUGUUGCAUUCCUGGCUCAGGUCACACAGCGGCUGACUGACAGAGCCACAACUCCCAUGUGGGCUGGGCUGACUUGAGAGCUCCUCACAGGCAGGGCCAGAGAGCCUCUCUUCAAUCUGCUUCCCCACCUGCUCCCGGCAAGGAGGGUGAGGCCCCAGGAUUGUGAGGUUCACCUCCUGAUCCCACCAGGGCUGAGAUGGAUUUCCAACCCCUGGACCUUUCCCCAGUGAGACCAUCCUGUUCUCUAGAAGCCCUCACUGAGCAUUUGUUCUGAAGUUCUGGUGUUUCCAGGCCUGGAGCAGGAGGAAUAAAGAGUCAGAGUAAUGAAGACCAUCUCCACCAAUCUCCAGCCUUCUCACCUUCCCCAGGCCUCUGGAUGUGUUUGCUGCCUGACUUAACACAUCUCUGAAGAGUGCCUGGCACAUCAUGGUUCAAAACAUGAGUCACCGUCAUCAUCGUCGCCAUCAUCAUCGCCAUCCUCAUCAUCGCCAUCCUCAUCAUCGCCAUCCUCAUCAUCACCCUCAUCCAUAGCUUUGGGAGAGGAAUCUGGAGCAAAAGUAGGAGGCAUCUGCAUACCUGAACCAUCAGCCACAGCAGUGCCAGGUUUAGCAAAUAAAAAUAUAAGCACAUUUGCUCAUAAUUUAUCUGAAAUCCACA